UACGUAGGGUCCGAGCGUUGUCCGGAAUUAUUGGGCGUAAAGGGCUCGUAGGCGGUUCGUCACGUCGGGAGUGAAAACUCGGGGCUUAACCCCGAGCCUGCUUCCGAUACGGGCAGACUAGAGGUAGGCAGGGGAGAGCGGAACUCCUGGUGUAGCGGUGGAAUGCGCAGAUAUCAGGAAGAACACCGGUGGCGAAGGCGGCUCUCUGGAACGCAACUGACGCUGAGACGCGAAAGCGUGGGGAGCAAACGGG
rnacentral:rRNA from 1 species